rnacentral:rRNA from 1 species
UAAGAGUUUGAUCAUGGCUCAGAUUGAACGCUGGCGGCAGGCCUAACACAUGCAAGUCGAGCGGGGUCAAGGUGCUUCGGGUCGAGUACAGCGGCGGACGGGUGAGUAACGCGUAGGAAUCUACCUAGUAGUGGGGGACAACAUGGUGAAAACCAUGCUAAUACCGCAUACGCCCUAAGGGGGAAAGUAUGGGACCUUCGGACCAUACGCUAUUGGAUGAGCCUGCGUAGGAUUAGCUAGUUGGUGGGGUAAAGGCCCACCAAGGCGACGAUCCUUAGCUGGUCUGAGAGGAUGAUCAGCCACACUGGAACUGAGACACGGUCCAGACUCCUACGGGAGGCAGCAGUGGGGAAUAUUGCGCAAUGGGGGAAACCCUGACGCAGCCAUGCCGCGUGUGUGAAGAAGGCUCUAGGGUUGUAAAGCACUUUCAGUAGGGAGGAAAAGCUAGUCAUUAAUAGUGGCUAGCCGUGACGUUACCUACAGAAGAAGCACCGGCUAACUCCGUGCCAGCAGCCGCGGUAAUACGGAGGGUGCGAGCGUUAAUCGGAAUUACUGGGCGUAAAGCGCGCGUAGGCGGUUGUCUAAGCUAGAUGUGAAAGCCCCGGGCUCAACCUGGGAACUGCAUUUAGAACUGGGCAACUAGAGUACAGCAGAGGAGUGUGGAAUUUCAGGUGUAGCGGUGAAAUGCGUAGAGAUCUGAAGGAACAUCAGUGGCGAAGGCGACACUCUGGACCAAUACUGACGCUGAGGUGCGAAAGCGUGGGUAGCAAACAGGAUUAGAUACCCUGGUAGUCCACGCCGUAAACGAUGUCUACUAGCCGUUGGGUUCCUUGAGGACUUAGUGGCGCAGCUAACGCAUUAAGUAGACCGCCUGGGGGGUACGGCCGUAAGGUUAAAACUCAAAUGAAUUGACGGGGGCCCGCACAAGCGGUGGAGCAUGUGGUUUAAUUCGAUGCAACGCGAAGAACCUUACCAGGUCUUGACAUCCUACUAAGUUUCCAGAGAUGGAUUCGUGCCUUCGGGAAAGUAGUGACAGGUGCUGUAUGGCUGUCGUCAGCUCGUGUUGUGAGAUGUUGGGUUAAGUCCCGUAAUGAGCGUAACCCUUGUCCUUAGUUGUUAUCAGGUAAUGCUGGGAACUCUAAGGAGACUGCCGGUGACAAACCGGAGGAAGGUGGGGACGACGUCAAGUCAUCAUGGCCCUUACGACCUGGGCUACACACGUGCUACAAUGGCAAGAACAGAGGGUCGCAAAACCGCGAGGUCAAGCUAAUCCCAGAAAACUUGUCGUAGUCCGGAUUGGAGUCUGCAACUCGACUCCAUGAAGUCGGAAUCGCUAGUAAUCGCGAAUCAGAAUGUCGCGGUGAAUACGUUCCCGGGCCUUGUACACACCGCCCGUCACACCAUGGGAGUGGAUUGCACCAGAAGUAGCUAGCUUAACCUUCGGGAUGGCGGUUACCACGGUGUGGUUCAUGACUGGGGUGAAGUCGUAACAAGGUAGCCCUAGGGGAACCUGGGGCUGGAUCACCUCCUU